CUCUCUCUCUCUCUCUCUCUCUCUCUCUCUCUCUCUACAUUUUUGAGCUCUGGAAAUACGUAUUUUGCUUCAUCGAUUUUCAGUCAAUCAAGCAGAGAAAGAGGCUGUUUCACUGUGAUCAUGGAUGAUCAAACCCUAGAUACACUGUGUUCGAAUUUCGAUAAUGCUGUGACGCUAACCCCUCGCAAUUAUGAAAUAGAAAUUGUUGCAGAUCAAACCGUAGAAACUCCAGAGCAAAAAGAUGG